rnacentral:rRNA from 1 species
CAUGCAAGUCGAGCGAACUGAUUAGAAGCUUGCUUCUAUGACGUUAGCGGCGGACGGGUGAGUAACACGUGGGCAACCUGCCUGUAAGACUGGGAUAACUUCGGGAAACCGAAGCUAAUACCGGAUAGGAUCUUCUCCUUCAUGGGAGAUGAUUGAAAGAUGGUUUCGGCUAUCACUUACAGAUGGGCCCGCGGUGCAUUAGCUAGUUGGUGAGGUAACGGCUCACCAAGGCAACGAUGCAUAGCCGACCUGAGAGGGUGAUCGGCCACACUGGGACUGAGACACGGCCCAGACUCCUACGGGAGGCAGCAGUAGGGAAUCUUCCGCAAUGGACGAAAGUCUGACGGAGCAACGCCGCGUGAGUGAUGAAGGCUUUCGGGUCGUAAAACUCUGUUGUUAGGGAAGAACAAGUACAAGAGUAACUGCUUGUACCUUGACGGUACCUAACCAGAAAGCCACGGCUAACUACGUGCCAGCAGCCGCGGUAAUACGUAGGUGGCAAGCGUUAUCCGGAAUUAUUGGGCGUAAAGCGCGCGCAGGCGGUUUCUUAAGUCUGAUGUGAAAGCCCACGGCUCAACCGUGGAGGGUCAUUGGAAACUGGGGAACUUGAGUGCAGAAGAGAAAAGCGGAAUUCCACGUGUAGCGGUGAAAUGCGUAGAGAUGUGGAGGAACACCAGUGGCGAAGGCGGCUUUUUGGUCUG